GAAGGAAGAGGGUGGGAGAGAGAGGUGUUGCAGGUUCAUUGUUGAUGGCUACCACUCCACUGCAGCUCUGUCUCUUAUCUCGUGGAUUCUAACUGCAUCAGAGGUUCAUAUAGGCUUAGAAACUUAGCCCAACAGCUCCGUCUCUACAAACCUCCACCUUCCUUCGACGACGAUGAUAUUGAGAAGCAACGAAUCGAAGAAAGUGCAGGGAAGGUAAUUUCUUAUAUGGGCAUUGCAGAAUCAACAACACCAAUUACUCACCCAGAAAAAUUCAAGCCCAAGUGAGCUGCGGUGCCUGUCUGCCUCUUCGUAGGUGAUGGUGGGGAUCUCUGGUUCAUCCUCAUCAAACUUUUAAUUUUAUGAGACAAGUCGAGUUAUUGUUGCAGGUGGAGUGUCGGUGCCUGGAGGGAAAGCAGAGGAGGGCAACGCAGAUGACAGAGGCGCGGCCACUGUUGGACAAAGUUGUGAUGGACCGAAGGCCAUACAUAAUCGAAGGAAGGCCUUUAAUGGCUGAUUAUGUAUCGUCAUCCACUGGGUUAUGAGCAAGGAUAACGAAGAAUGGUUGCUGGACUUUGUAGUACCACAAUAACAGUUGAAGAAAAAAAAAAAAAGAAGAUGAAGAAGAUUAACAAUGUUCUACCACCGUAGGCCAAUGGAGAAGAAUUCACCACUUACAUUGCUUGUAAUUCACUUCUGUUUUAUUUCUGCUUAUGGAAGAGGGAGACUAAUGGAAAAGGAACUUAUAUCUGCUCUCACUCCAUUGUUGAGUUGCAGGCUGCAUGCCAGGAGCUUCAACUUGCCAAGGAGAAGAAAGAAGCGGAAUGAAUCCAGUUGCAUCAGAUAUGCACGAACAGUGACAAACGAAAGGUUGAGUCGAUCUCGUUAGGCAAGCUUUGUGGUCAAACCCUCUUAUUUAUAGAGAAUUGGUUCAUAAUAAUCUACUACUAGUGGGUUAUCUCAAGUGGACAAGCCAUGAAGGAACCGGGUCAAGACCAGUCCAACCCAGUUCAAUUAACAAUUGCAUAUAAAAAGAAGAAGCACCAGCACCAAUGCAACUCGCCAAGGAGAAGAAAGAAGGUUGCUUAAUAAUGUGGGACUGACAAGCAUCGCAUGCAGUGGGCUUCAGAUCUUCAUGGUUGCUUUCUAGAUGCCAUCACACAACUUAGUGGACCAGAUAGUGGGUAUUUUUAUUCAGGAAUGAGAACAUAUAGUGCUGGUUUAUUUUCUUAAGUGGAAGCAAUUGGAAUAUUAUUUCAUCAUUUAAUCAACAUCAUCACCCGACAAUUUGACUA